ensembl:lncRNA
GCUGAGGGCAGAACCAAAGCUUUGUUGGAACCUUUUCUGCAAUACACCACGAUCAGACCUAGCAACUCUGCUUAUUUUAAGCCAGCAACAGCUGCGGUGCCGCCAGUCCCAUUGCAAACGCUUGUAACACGAUGCUCACCUGUCCUCUAUACAGACCCUGGGUGAGACUAUUUAUGCCUCCCUGUCCUGCUGUGCAUCACUUGGAGACCUCACAAGAAAAGGCACCUGUGGAAAUAGAAUAUGAUUGAGGUAUCUUGGGAUAUUUCACCACAACAGCAAGAGCUGCUGGAUUUUCCUGAGGAAGCAACAGAUCCUCUGCAGGGCAGUGCAAAUCCAAGUGGCACUGAUCCCCAUGAAAGCCUGACUGAGGACAUUAAAUCAGGCAGACCCCCAUGGCUUUUGUCUGGCCGUGAUAUCGCAACAGGAUGGGUUGCUUUUUCCAGCACCAUUCACGCUGUUUUCUGGGCUGGCAGCAGCAACCAGUGGAACUUGAACGUGUUUAGGGGUGUUCCCGUUCCAUCUCCUUGCCUCCCUUUGCUGUGGCUCUGCACACUCAUACAAAAAUGUGAUGGAGGCUGCACUUGAGAAACCACCUCUCUCCUGUACUACUAAACCAAAUUUGGAAGAUAACUGAAUCUCACCGAGUGUAGAUCCUUUACUUCCUUACAACAGCUUUAUGAAGAGAAAUGCCGCUGUUAGUCUGACUUCUACAACCAGUGACAAAAAGACAUGACAUGGUGCAUGUGGAGAACAUGCUCGUCUCAUCACUGGGGCCCAGAGGGCUGCUUGUCUCUGCUCCCAGAAAGGGCCGUGGAGAAUGGAAACCUACCAC